rnacentral:rRNA from 1 species
UUAAGCGACUAAGCGUACACGGUGGAUGCCCUGGCAGUCAGAGGCGAUGAAGGACGUGCUAAUCUGCGAUAAGCGUCGGUGAGGUGAUAUGAACCGUUAUAACCGGCGAUUUCCGAAUGGGGAAACCCAGUGUGUUUCGACACACUAUCAUUAACUGAAUCCAUAGGUUAAUGAGGCGAACCGGGGGAACUGAAACAUCUAAGUACCCCGAGGAAAAGAAAUCAACCGAGAUUCCCCCAGUAGCGGCGAGCGAACGGGGAGGAGCCCAGAGCCUGAAUCAGUGUGUGUGUUAGUGGAAGCGUCUGGAAAGGCGUGCGAUACAGGGUGACAGCCCCGUACACAAAAAUGCACAUAUUGUGAGCUCGAUGAGUAGGGCGGGACACGUGGUAUCCUGUCUGAAUAUGGGGGGACCAUCCUCCAAGGCUAAAUACUCCUGACUGACCGAUAGUGAACCAGUACCGUGAGGGAAAGGCGAAAAGAACCCCGGCGAGGGGAGUGAAAAAGAACCUGAAACCGUGUACGUACAAGCAGUGGGAGCCUCUUUAUGGGGUGACUGCGUACCUUUUGUAUAAUGGGUCAGCGACUUAUAUUCUGUAGCAAGGUUAACCGAAUAGGGGAGCCGAAGGGAAACCGAGUCUUAACUGGGCGUUAAGUUGCAGGGUAUAGACCCGAAACCCGGUGAUCUAGCCAUGGGCAGGUUGAAGGUUGGGUAACACUAACUGGAGGACCGAACCGACUAAUGUUGAAAAAUUAGCGGAUGACUUGUGGCUGGGGGUGAAAGGCCAAUCAAACCGGGAGAUAGCUGGUUCUCCCCGAAAGCUAUUUAGGUAGCGCCUCGUGAAUUCAUCUCCGGGGGUAGAGCACUGUUUCGGCAAGGGGGUCAUCCCGACUUACCAACCCGAUGCAAACUGCGAAUACCGGAGAAUGUUAUCACGGGAGACACACGGCGGGUGCUAACGUCCGUCGUGAAGAGGGAAACAACCCAGACCGCCAGCUAAGGUCCCAAAGUCAUGGUUAAGUGGGAAACGAUGUGGGAAGGCCCAGACAGCCAGGAUGUUGGCUUAGAAGCAGCCAUCAUUUAAAGAAAGCGUAAUAGCUCACUGGUCGAGUCGGCCUGCGCGGAAGAUGUAACGGGGCUAAACCAUGCACCGAAGCUGCGGCAGCGACACUAUGUGUUGUUGGGUAGGGGAGCGUUCUGUAAGCCUGUGAAGGUGGCCUGUGAGGGUUGCUGGAGGUAUCAGAAGUGCGAAUGCUGACAUAAGUAACGAUAAAGCGGGUGAAAAGCCCGCUCGCCGGAAGACCAAGGGUUCCUGUCCAACGUUAAUCGGGGCAGGGUGAGUCGACCCCUAAGGCGAGGCCGAAAGGCGUAGUCGAUGGGAAACAGGUUAAUAUUCCUGUACUUGGUGUUACUGCGAAGGGGGGACGGAGAAGGCUAUGUUGGCCGGGCGACGGUUGUCCCGGUUUAAGCGUGUAGGCUGGUUUUCCAGGCAAAUCCGGAAAACCAAGGCUGAGGCGUGAUGACGAGGCACUACGGUGCUGAAGCGACAAAUGCCCUGCUUCCAGGAAAAGCCUCUAAGCAUCAGGUAACAUCAAAUCGUACCCCAAACCGACACAGGUGGUCAGGUAGAGAAUACCAAGGCGCUUGAGAGAACUCGGGUGAAGGAACUAGGCAAAAUGGUGCCGUAACUUCGGGAGAAGGCACGCUGAUAUGUAGGUGAAGCGACUUGCUCGUGGAGCUGAAAUCAGUCGAAGAUACCAGCUGGCUGCAACUGUUUAUUAAAAACACAGCACUGUGCAAACACGAAAGUGGACGUAUACGGUGUGACGCCUGCCCGGUGCCGGAAGGUUAAUUGAUGGGGUUAGCGGUAACGCGAAGCUCUUGAUCGAAGCCCCGGUAAACGGCGGCCGUAACUAUAACGGUCCUAAGGUAGCGAAAUUCCUUGUCGGGUAAGUUCCGACCUGCACGAAUGGCGUAAUGAUGGCCAGGCUGUCUCCACCCGAGACUCAGUGAAAUUGAACUCGCUGUGAAGAUGCAGUGUACCCGCGGCAAGACGGAAAGACCCCGUGAACCUUUACUAUAGCUUGACACUGAACAUUGAGCCUUGAUGUGUAGGAUAGGUGGGAGGCUUUGAAGUGUGGACGCCAGUCUGCAUGGAGCCGACCUUGAAAUACCACCCUUUAAUGUUUGAUGUUCUAACGUUGGCCCGUAAUCCGGGUUGCGGACAGUGUCUGGUGGGUAGUUUGACUGGGGCGGUCUCCUCCUAAAGAGUAACGGAGGAGCACGAAGGUUGGCUAAUCCUGGUCGGACAUCAGGAGGUUAGUGCAAUGGCAUAAGCCAGCUUGACUGCGAGCGUGACGGCGCGAGCAGGUGCGAAAGCAGGUCAUAGUGAUCCGGUGGUUCUGAAUGGAAGGGCCAUCGCUCAACGGAUAAAAGGUACUCCGGGGAUAACAGGCUGAUACCGCCCAAGAGUUCAUAUCGACGGCGGUGUUUGGCACCUCGAUGUCGGCUCAUCACAUCCUGGGGCUGAAGUAGGUCCCAAGGGUAUGGCUGUUCGCCAUUUAAAGUGGUACGCGAGCUGGGUUUAGAACGUCGUGAGACAGUUCGGUCCCUAUCUGCCGUGGGCGCUGGAGAACUGAGGGGGGCUGCUCCUAGUACGAGAGGACCGGAGUGGACGCAUCACUGGUGUUCGGGUUGUCAUGCCAAUGGCACUGCCCGGUAGCUAAAUGCGGAAGAGAUAAGUGCUGAAAGCAUCUAAGCACGAAACUUGCCCCGAGAUGAGUUCUCCCUGACUCCUUGAGAGUCCUGAAGGAACGUUGAAGACGACGACGUUGAUAGGCCGGGUGUGUAAGCGCAGCGAUGCGUUGAGCUAACCGGUACUAAUGAACCGUGAGGCUUAACCU